UUGCCUCAGUAACGGCGAGUGAAGCGGCAAUAGCUCAAAUUUGAAAUCUGCUCUUUGAGCCGAAUUGUAAUUUGUAGAGGAUGCUUCGGCUUACGUUUCGGUCUAAGUUCCUUGGAACAGGACGUCAUAGAGGGUGAGAAUCCCGUCUGUGGCCGAGACUUCCGCCAUGUGAAGCUCCUUCGACGAGUCGAGUUGUUUGGGAAUGCAGCUCUAAAUGGGAGGUAUAUUUCUUCUAAAGCUAAAUACCGGCCAGAGACCGAUAGCGCACAAGUAGAGUGAUCGAAAGAUGAAAAGCACUUUGGAAAGAGAGUUAAAAAGUACGUGAAAUUGUUGAAAGGGAAGCGUUUGCGACCAGACUUGCCCGCGGAUGCUCAACCGGUCCUUCGGCCGGUGCACUCUUCCGCGGUCAGGCCAGCAUCAGUUCGAGUAGCCAGAUAAAGGCAUUGGGAAUGUGGCUCUCUUCGGGGAGUGUUAUAGCCCUUUGUGUAAUAUGGUUCAUUUGGACUGAGGCCCGCGCUUCGGCUAGGAUGCUGGCGUAAUGGUCGUAAGCGGCCCGUCUUGAAACACGGACCAAGGAGUCUAACAUCUAUGCGAGUGUUUGGGUGUCAAACCCGUGCGCGAAAUGAAAGUGAACGGAGGUGGGAACCUUUGGGUGCACCAUCGACCGAUCCUGAUGUCUUCGGAUGGAUUUGAGUAAGAGCAUAGCUGUUGGGACCCGAAAGAUGGUGAACUAUGCCUGAAUAGGGUGAAGCCAGAGGAAACUCUGGUGGAGGCUCGCAGCGGUUCUGACGUGCAAAUCGAUCGUCAAAUUUGGGUAUAGGG
rnacentral:rRNA from 1 species